AGGUUAAGCUACUAAGGGCACACGGUGGAUGCCUUGGCGCUAGGAGCCGAUGAAGGACGGGACGAACUCCGAUAAGCUUCGGGGAGCUGUAAGUAAGCUUUGAUCCGGAGAUUUCCGAAUGGGGCAACCCACCAGCUUGAAGAGCUGGUACCGCCACCUGAAUCCAUAGGGUGGUCGGGGGCAGACCAGGGGAACUGAAACAUCUAAGUACCCUGAGGAAGAGAAAGCAAACGCGAUUCCCUGAGUAGCGGCGAGCGAAACGGGAACAGCCCAAACCGAUGGCCUUGUGCCAUCGGGGUUGUAGGACGUCUCACACGGAGUCACAAAGGGAGCGAAUAGGUGAACUGGUUCUGGAAAGGCGGCAAUAUAAGGUAACAGCCCUGUAACCGAAAUUCGUUCCCCUCCGAGACGGAUCCUGAGUACCGCGGGACACGUGAAACCCCGUGGGAAGCUGGGAGGACCACCUCCCAAGGCUAAAUACUCCCUAGCGACCGAUAGUGAACCAGUACCGUGAGGGAAAGGUGAAAAGCACCCCGGGAGGGGAGUGAAAGAGAACCUGAAACCGUGUGCUUACACCAGUCGGAGUCCCCUUGAGGGAUGACGGCGUGCCUUUUGUAGAAUGAACCGGCGAGUAACGGUUGCGUGCAAGGUUAAGGUGAAAGCUGGAGGCCGUAGCCGAAGGCGAGUCCUGAAAUAGGGCGCUUCAGUACGUAGUCGUUGACCCGAAACCCGGGUGAUCUACCCAUGUCCAGGAUGAAGUUCCGGUAACACGGAAUGGAGGUCCGAACCUGUUGGUGUUGAAAAACCAUAGGAUGAGGUGUGGGUAGGGGUGAAAUCCAAUCGAACCCGGAGAUAGCUGGUUCUCCCCGAAAUGGCCUUUAGGGCUAGCCUCGGAUCAAGAGUCAUGGAGGUAGAGCACUGAUUGGGCUAGGGGCCCCCACCAGGGUUACCGAACUCAGUUAAAACUCCCGAAUGCAUCGACUCAUAUCCGGGAGUCAGACUGCGAGUGCUAAGAUCCGUAGUCAGAGGGGAAACAGCCCAGACCACCAGCUAAGGUCCCCAAGUAAUCCGUUAAGUGGCAAAGGAUGUGGAGUUGCCUAGACAACCAGGAUGUUGGCUUAGAAGCAGCCACAUUCAAAGAGUGCGUAAUAGCUCACUGGUCAAGUGACUCUGCGCCGAAAAUGUAAACGGGGCUAAACGAUUCACCGAAGCUGUGGGAUGCCGCCACAUUCCACUCUGUCUUUCAUUGAUUCGUCGGCGAAUGUCAUUCGCCGAAAACAUCUUUCCGGUUCAAUCCGAUGUUUUCGGCGAAAUGCCAUAGCGAAACGAUGUGUGUGGAAGCUGGAGUGAAUGCGGUGGCAUGGUAGGGGAGCGUUCCAAGCAGCAGCGAAGCUGCUUCGUGAGAAGUGGUGGAGCGCUUGGAAGUGAAGAAUGCCGGUAUGAGUAGCGAAAAGAGGGGUGAGAAUCCCCUCCACCGUAAGCCUAAGGUUUCCUGAGGAAGGUUCGUCCGCUCAGGGUUAGUCGGGACCUAAGCUGAGGCCGAAAGGCGUAGGCGAUGGACAACAGGUUGAUAUUCCUGUACCACCUAUUUUCGUUUGUACGAUGGGGGGACGCAGGAGGGUAGGGAAUCGCGCGACUGGAAGUGCGCGUCCAAGCAGUGAGGCCGAAAGGAUAGGCAAAUCCGUCCUUUCUAUAGGCUAGGCUGUGAUGGCGAGGGAAAUCAUCAGUACCGAAGUUCCUGAUCUCACACUGCCAAGAAAAGCCUCUAGGAGAAAAUAGGUGCCCGUACCGCAAACCGACACAGGUAGGCGAGGAGAGAAUCCUAAGGUGCUCGGGAAAACUCUCGUUAAGGAACUCGGCAAAAUGACCCCGUAACUUCGGGAGAAGGGGUGCCCCGGUAGGGUGAAUAGCCCGAGGGGGCCGCAGUGAAGAGGUCCAGGCGACUGUUUAGCAAAAACACAGGUCUCUGCUAAGCCGCAAGGCGAUGUAUAGGGGCUGACGCCUGCCCGGUGCUGGAGGUUAAGGGGAAGGGUUAGCGCAAGCGAAGCUCUGAACCGAAGCCCCAGUAAACGGCGGCCGUAACUAUAACGGUCCUAAGGUAGCGAAAUUCCUUGUCGGGUAAGUUCCGACCCGCACGAAAGGCGUAACGAUCUGGACGCUGUCUCAACGAGAGACCCGGUGAAAUUGUACUGCCAGUGAAGAUGCUGGCUACCCGCGACAAGACGGAAAGACCCCGUGGAGCUUUACUGUAGCCUGAUAUUGAAUCUAGGUACGACUUGUACAGGAUAGGUGGGAGUCUGAGAAGCCGGAGCGCCAGCUUCGGUGGAGACGCCGGUGGGAUACCACUCUGGUCGUAUCGGGGUUCUAACUCGCCGCCGUCAUCCGGCGGGAGGACCGUGUCAGGUGGGCAGUUUGACUGGGGCGGUCGCCUCCUAAAAAGUAACGGAGGCGCUCUAAGGUUCCCUCAGCGCGGUCGGAAAUCGCGCUCCAGAGUGCAAAGGCAGAAGGGAGCUUGACUGCGAGACCUACAAGUCGAGCAGGGACGAAAGUCGGACUUAGUGAUCCGUGGUUCCGACGUGAAGGGCCAUCGCUCAACGGAUAAAGCUACCCCGGGGAUAAUAAGGGGCCUUAUCUCCCCCAGAGUCCACAUCGACGGGGAGGUUUGGCACCUCGAUGUCGGCCUCAUCGCCAUCCUGGGGCUGUAGUAGGUUCCCAAGGGUUGGGCUGUGCGCCCAUUCAAGCGGGUACGCGAGCUGGGUUUCAGAACGUCGUGAGACAGUUUCGGUCCUAUCUGUCCGUGGGCGUAGGAAAUUUGGAGAGGAGCUGUCCUUAGUACGAGAGGACCGGAUGGACGCACAUCUGGUGUUACCAGUUGUUCCGCCAGGAGCACGCGCUGGGCUAGCCAGUGCGGACGGGAUAAGCGCUGAAAGGCAUCUAAGCGCGAAAGCCCCCCCUCAGAUGAGAUUUCCCAUUCCCCUGUGGAAGUAAGACCCCUUGUAGAUGACGAGGUUUGAUCGGUCGCGGGGUGUAGCGCAGCAAUGCGUUUAGCUGACGGAUACGAAUCGGUCGAGGGCUUAUCCUA
rnacentral:rRNA from 1 species